GUUGAUAAGGUUAAGUGAAUAAGGGCGCACGGUGGAUGCCUUGGCACUAGGAGCCGAUGAAGGACGGGACUAACACCGAUAUGCUUUGGGGAGCUGUAAGUAAGCUAUGAUCC
rnacentral:rRNA from 1 species